AUUUUAUCGUCAUUUUAUUUAUAUAUUUUGAAAAAUUAUUACUUUUAUUAAUCGCGCGAUAUUGAUUUAUAUAUAUAUAUAUAUUAUUAUUUUUUUUUUUUUGUUCUAGACAAAUAUAAGAAGAACAUCGAUCGCAUGCAACGCCGAAAACCAAAAGUAUAUUCUGACCUAUAUACAUAUUUACGGCGAAAAAAUAUUUUUUAUUUCGU